AACGAACGCUGGCGGCAGGCCUAACACAUGCAAGUCGAGCGCCCCGCAAGGGGAGCGGCGGACGGGUGAGUAACGCGUGGGAACGUGCCCUCUUCUACGGAAUAGCCUCGGGAAACUGGGAGUAAUACCGUAUACGCCCUUAGGGGGAAAGAUUUAUCGGAGGAGGAUCGGCCCGCGUUGGAUUAGGUAGUUGGUGGGGUAAUGGCCUACCAAGCCGACGAUCCAUAGCUGGUUUGAGAGGAUGAUCAGCCACACUGGGACUGAGACACGGCCCAGACUCCUACGGGAGGCAGCAGUGGGGAAUCUUAGACAAUGGGCGCAAGCCUGAUCUAGCCAUGCCGCGUGAGCGAUGAAGGCCUUAGGGUUGUAAAGCUCUUUCAGGGGGGAAGAUAAUGACUGUACCCCCAGAAAGAGCCCCGGCUAACUCCGUG
rnacentral:rRNA from 1 species